AGAAUGAACGUUGGCGGCGUGGAUUAGGCAUGCAAGUCGCGCGACCCGCAAGGGGAGCGGCGCAAGGGUGAGUAAGGCGAAGGUAACCAACCCCAUGGUUGGGCAUAGCCGCGGGAAACCGCGGGUAAUUCCCAGCGACGUUGGACCGGGGCAUCCCGGUCCAACCAAAGUUCAGGCGCCGUGGGACGGGCCUUCGUGGUAUUAGGUAGUUGGCGGGGUGACGGCCCACCAAGCCUGCGAUGCCUACCGGGCGUGCGAGCGUGGCCCGGCACACUGGGACUGAGACACUGCCCAGACUCCUACGGGAGGCUGCAGUCGAGAAUCUUCGGCAAUGGGCGCAAGCCUGACCGAGCGACGCCGCGUGGAGGACGAAGGCCUUCGGGUUGUAAACUCCUGUCGAGGGGGAGGAGGCGUAAGCUUGACCGAUCCCUGGAGGAAGCGACGGGCUAAGUUCGUGCCAGCAGCCGC
rnacentral:rRNA from 1 species